ACAAUGACUCUCGGCAACGGAUAUCUCGGCUCUUGCAUCGAUGAAGAACGUAGCGAAAUGCGAUACUUGGUGUGAAUUGCAGAAUCCCGUGAACCAUCGAGUCUUUGAACGCAAGUUGCGCCCGAAGCCAUUAGGCUGAGGGCACGUCUGCCUGGGUGUCACAC
rnacentral:rRNA from 1 species